rnacentral:rRNA from 1 species
CGGUAACAGCUCAAAUUUGAAAUCUGGCUCUUCCGGAGUCCGAGUUGUAAUUUGUAGAAGAUGCUUUGGGAGGUAGGGCCGGCCUAAGUUCCUUGGAACAGGACAUCAGAGAGGGUGAGAAUCCCGUAUGUGGCCGUGGCCUACGCCCGUGUAAAGCUCUUUCGAC